UGCUCUUGGCAGAAGCAGCUGCGUUUGUUCCCAAACUGCUUUCUGAAACUCCCAGUUACUUUCUGGAUGCAUUUCUAAUUUCAGGCGGUAGCUGUGUUUCUGCUGCCAAUGCCCAUGUCACGAAUAACAAACAUGCAAUUUCCUCCCCUGUAGAAUUAUUCCACUCUGCUUAUCUGGAGGUUCAGUUCUGUUGUCUCCAUUUUAAUCACAUUUUCCAACAACACAUUACUUUGUGCAACAGACCAUUUUCCUUUGCGAAAGAUCAAAAUCAUUGCAUAUUCCAUUUCAUUUCUUGACCUAAAACUGACAGUUUUUGCAUUGCGCUGCUAAUUUAAUUUAAAGAAAAAGUACGUGGCAAAAUGUAUCAAUUGAUAUCUGAAACAUAUUACACCUCAGCUGCAUGCAUGAACACCGUAGGCGUUUAAAACAAUCAUAUGGAAAAUCAUAGCAUGAAAAACCUGUUUCAGAGCUUUAAAACCUUCUUGCCAUCGGUAAUAAUUAUAAAAGCCUCCUAAAGCAAGUACUUUUAGUAAUCUCUAUAGCGCAUAGUUAGAGUACGGUUAUACUACAGCACAGUUUCAGUUACACUUAAAAGAAGCCACAAUAGGUCACAGCUCUCCAAACACGACUCCAGCACGUUUUUGUACUGAAAAAUGCAGACAUGCAUGCACUCCGUAUUUCUUCCUAUGCACUCUCAGAUGACAGAAGGGAACACAGCGCAGGGAAUGUAAACAGUAUAAAGCAUGCAUCUUGCACACACGGACACAAAUGUAGUAACAACUGCCUUGACAGUGCCCAGAUGUUGCAAGGAGCAGUGGGGACAGCCAGGAAGCCCAUUCUCAUUGUGCUAAUGAGGGUAAUGAGAGCUGAGAAGUUAAAAGCCCUUGCAAAGCUGUGAAACUCCAACCCUAUUUAUUCCUUAUCAUUUCACUGAUACAUUUUACAUCCUAGCGGCAAAACGUUUCAUGUCAGUGACUAGCCGUGUCAGGAAAAGGCCUACCUCGUGUAUGGAGCCGGUCCCAGAUCCAGCAGCGCUUCCUCCCUUGGCUCAGAUAUCCAACCAGGCAUGUGCUGCAGAUGCUGGGUGCAAGGCACGUGCUGCGUCCCAACACGUGGCACUAUGGACUGCUCACCCAAACCAGUUCCUGAUGCACAUAGUGGAACCAAGCACCAGAAAAGUCUGGUCCGGCCAUACAUGUCAGAUACAAUCUAAACAACCAGCAACAUAGGGAGAGGUGGGUAAAGCAAACAGGAGAGAGUAGAUGGCCAUUCCUUGCUCCCUUUCAAUUUCCACAUUUUUAAGAACUCAAAAGAACUGGCAUUGUUCCAUCUGUGGCAAUGGCACAGGUACUUACAAGUCUUUGUCCCUGUGCAGCUGCUGUGCUCUGUAUCACUAACCCAAAAUGAUUAGGCUCUGCAUAAAUAGUUGAAAAACAGGCAAACAUUAACUUAAAGUUUUAAUUAACUAAAAUGUUUUUGUAAUUAUUGCAUUAUUUAAAAAAGGAAUGCCAUGAUCACUCAGCAAGGAUUUCAUUCUUUUUUAUAUUAGGCUAUUAUUAUUCAAUUAUUUAUUAUAAUAAACAAUUGUAAUGUUAGAAAUCCAUUAGAAGCCGGAGAUAUUUUUUCUUCAGACAGGUUCAGUAUCUAAAUACUUGAAAUAUAAAAGCUGGAGUUGAAAUCUGGAAAGGGGAAUUGGAAUCAAAGACCUUUAAACAUCCCUUCAAACUCCAGUGAUCCUACGAUUCCAGAAGAGAUGGCUGUAUUUAUACUCUAACAAUACUGCAGCUACUGAAAAUAAGCUGUGAAGAGCAAGCACACUUUCAGUUCAUAGAUAGCCCAUUUCAACAUUAAUUCACUGAAAUCAACUACAAUUAAAAUUAGAAUAAUGAAACAGCUCAAGUGCAGUGCAAACUGGCCGUAGUUAUGCAGAGACCGGCACACAGCAGCGAAUGCAACAGCCCGAGAGCUCUGGCUCAUGACCAGGUGCAGGCGUGACAGCGCCGGGAGCUGGAUGGGUGUUACACAGCCCGUGGGCUGCAGCCCACUGUUUGCUGUCGGACGCCAGAACCUGCUCUAUGCACGAGCUCAUUUAGAAGAUACAAACCACAUGUCUGCUCCAUUUGGCAGAGAAGCACCAGUGCUGGCAGACGGAGCCGGGAGCCGCUCUCUGGAUGCUGCCAGUGAGCGCCUGCAGGUGCAGACGGCUCCUUGUUGUGCGUGGGAAAUGGUCCAGCCACGGCUUUUCCAAGAAGGCCCCAUUAGAGAAGGCUGAGAAGCGCUGAUGCAGACAGCCUGCGGGGAGCCAGCCUGCCUUCCACCAGGAUACGCUCACCACGAUGUUAAAUCUGGCUCCCCUUGAGCUCACCGGGGCUGAUUUUAAAGAAAAUAGUUCUAGGUGCCAUUCAGAUUCAACAUGACCAACUCUCGAACAUUUAAUCAAAUGUAUUAACUGCUACAAAUGAUUACAGUGAAAAGUAAAGACAUUCUUUGAUUUCUACACAGACUUUUGACAUGACAUUGCUCAAGUUGCCGGUGAGGACUUGGCUAUCCAGCAUGCACUACAGAAUCCAAGCUUUGAAAUAGUUUUCUGCAGCUCUCUGUUUUCCAUACUUUUCCUUACUGAAUCCCCCCACAAAGACCACAGGCAGUCACUGACACACUUGAAACCUCUGUCCUGCCAAAGAGUCCCCACCGCAGCCUCAUCCCAUGGCUCCAGGAGCUCCAGGCUCUGCUGCCCAAGGGAAGCGCUCAGCCCCAAUGGAAGCUGCGAUGGAGCACAGGCAUCUGAAACACUGCAGGAGAGAGUAGCUGCAGCCUUUCAUGUUAGGGAAUUGGGUCAAAAAUCUUCCAGAAAAUCUAUUUCAAUAAUGAAAGCUGACUUUUCUCCUCCUUUUUUUUUUUUUUUUCUUUCCCUGAUUAUGGGAAAAGGUGGAUUAUAUAUUUAAUCUGACCAAUAAAAGCACAGAAAAGGGUACGUUUUUCUUAUCAAAAAUAAUUCCCUUUUUUAAUCAUCAUUUCCCACAGAAAAUGAAUGCUCAGUAUUCUGCCAGAUUAACAUAGCUGAAAUACAGCUGGUCCUGACAAUGGUAUGGACUUUUGGCUGUGGCAAUUAGCCAUGUUUUCCUCUACUAAUCAAAAAAAAAAAAAGAAGAAAGAAAGGAAAAGGAAAAUGCCAUUUGGUGGAACCUGGAGUGACUUUUGUUCUUUUCUGAACAAUAAAUAAAUAAGCAAAUAAUUUGAGCUGCACUAGAACGUAUUUCUUGGCCUAAAACAAAAUACUUCGUUUCUUCUUUGCUGUCAUUAUUGCUGCAUAAAAACGAUAAGAAGAACAUGAAAAUGAAAAAAAAGCACUUUCAAAGAAAGAAUUAGGAUUUAAUUCUACAAAUGUCAAAAUAUUUUUUUGAUGGUUUACCCAGUACUAUUUGCACCACUCCAUUCAGCUCUGUCAAUAAUUUCAGUUCAUUCGAAACAGCAUUUUUUAGCGAACAAACUGUUCAGAAAAAGGAAGAGUAAGAGAAACUGUCUGAUUAGGUGGAGAAAGAGAGGGAUGGGAGCUGCCUUAUUCUGCAGGCUCCAGAAGCCCGUCUCCACACCUGCAAAAGCUUGGAAAUUUCAUCAAGAAAACCUGCGGUGCUUCCUCUGUCCCUCUUCUUCCAUACUAUAAAACAAACUUUUGGAUGCCCAGAUAAGCUCAGAGCACGCAAAGGAAGAAAUAAACCUGCAAAAGAGUAAAGGAUUAAUGUGAAAGAAAGCAAGGUGUAGCCAGCUAAACCCUCCGGCUGCAGUCAAACACUGCAUUUUCAAAAUCAGUGGCAUUUGAUGGAGAGAAAAAAAAAUACUUACAUCAACUAGCUCAUGCCAUCUCCCUGUUUAAACGGUUGUUAAAAUACACAUUUAAAAUAAAAAUGAAUAUACAUAAGUCAUAAUGCAAGGAAAAUAUGGAUGCACAUAACGAUAACAUCACCCCUUCUUUCUGUACUGCCAUUGGAUUCAGAAUAAAGUCAUAACAACACUGCAAUGACCAUAGCAAAAUUCCUGCCCAGUGAAGAGAAGCGUUAGAAAAUGUGCAGCUUCCCUGACAAACGUUAUUUAAAAGUCAUUCUAAAUUUCUCAUAACUUCAGCAUAAAUAUGACUCAAAAUGACUUAAAGGACUUGAUCUUGAUUCCGCUGCUGUUUACAAAAUGUAAAUCCAUCGGAGCUGUCAGAAUUAUGCUCGUUUAAAGCUGGAGGAAUUGAGGAAGAAUUUGGCUUUUUGAUUCAAUCUUUAAUGUGCAGUUCACCCCUCGCAUAUACAAGGCACACUGACUCGCAGGCAGAAGAUAAACAUGUAAUAAAUCAGCUUACUUUUUUUUCAGCUCUUACUCACAGUGGAAUCCCCAAAAUUCAUUUUAUUUUAUCUUUUUCCCACUCUUCAGCUUUUUCUCUUUCAUUUUCCUUCCUCCUCUUCAAUCACCAAAGGUUUGCUUGUCUCAUUUUCUAUUUUACAUCACUCCGCUUUGUUCUCUACAAUGGAAAGACAGACAAGCAGAAAGAAAGGCGGACAGACAGACAGAUAGCACAGAGAGAUCCAGCCAGUCCGAGGCAAUAACUCCGGACACCCACAUUCUGGAGGAGCCGUUGCUCUCUCAAAAACUUUUUAUCUUUAUAAAGGGAAGGGAAUCAAGACUCAUUUGCAUAAGGGUUCAUUCCAUCUCUUCAGCUCACAUGUUUAUAGCUCUGGAAAGUCCCUUUCUGAUUCCCUGCUUGAUAAGGAGCCAGGAAGGUAAGCAGCAGCAGGGAGAGGUGAGAACUGUUUUGCUGACCUUGCAAGCAGGGCUUAAGUGCAGUACUCCAUUCUCCACGCUCGGAGGACCCAGCUGAAAGAUUUGGGUGCUCUUUAUCCCUUGGACUUCAAGACUCGGACUGUGCUUGUAGAGCUAAAGAUUCAAGUUGGAGAAACCCCCACUCUUGCACAGGAGGAAGCUCUGGUCAGGCGCUCAAUACUUCAGCUUCCUGUCUGUACACUCCGCGGUCUAAUCUGGGGAAAUCCUGAAAACAUUAUCAGAUGCCUGAUAAGCUCCUUAGCUUUCAAGUACAUAGUGAUUCAGUUUCGGUCAAAACCUCAUUUGAAUACCGUUUUAAAAUCUAAAUAAAAAGUGAGACCCUAACAGAGAAGAGAUUAGACUUGUAGUCUAACAUCACUGGUAUCCAAAAUAACGCGAGUGGCAUUAAAAACUGGCAUAAACAAACCUACUCUUCCAUACCUGCAUCAAG
ensembl:lncRNA